rnacentral:rRNA from 1 species
UCUCCCCUCUCGCGGCGUGCCUAAUACACGCAAGUCGGGCGAACAGACGAGGAACUUGCUCCUCUGACGUUAACGGCGGACGUGUGGGUAACACGUGGAGAACCUACCUAUAAAACUGGAAUAACUUCGGGAAACCGAAGCUAAUACGGGAUAAAGUAUUGAACCGCAAGGUUCAAUAGUGAAAGACGGUUUUGCGUUUGCUUAUAAAUGAAUCUGCGCCGCAUUAGCUAGUUGGUAAGGUAACGGCUUAACAAGGCAACGAUGAGUACCCGACUUGUGAGAGUGAUAGGCCACCGUCGAACUGAACCACCGUCCAGACUAAUACGGGAAGCAGCAGUAGGGAAUCUUCCGGAAUGGGCGAAAGCAUGACGCAGCAACGCUCCGCGAGUGAUGAAGGUCAUCGGAUCGAAAAACACUGUUAUUAGGGCAGAACAAAUGUGUAAGUCACUAUGAACGUUUCGAGGAUAACUACGCAGAAGGCCCCGACUAACUAGGCG